AGCGAACGCUGGCGCCAGGCCUAACACAUGCAAGUCGAACGAACCUUUCGGGGUUAGUGGCGGACGGGUGAGUAACACGUGGGAACGUGCCUUUAGGUUCGGAAUAACUCAGGGAAACUUGUGCUAAUACCGAAUGUGCCCUUCGGGGGAAAGAUUAAUCGCCUUUAGAGCGGCCCGCGUCUGAUUAGCUAGUUGGUUGAGGUAAUGGCUCACCAAGGCGACGAUCAGUAGCUGGUCUGAGAGGAUGAUCAGCCACAUUGGGACUGAGACACGGCCCAAACUCCUACGGGAGGCAGCAGUGGGGAAUCUUGCGCAAUGGGCGAAAGCCUGACGCAGCCAUGCCGCGUGAAUGAUGAAGGUCUUAGGAUUGUAAAAUUCUUUCACCGGGGACGAUAAUGACGGUACCCGGAGAAGAAGCCCCGGCUAACUUCGUG
rnacentral:rRNA from 1 species